rnacentral:rRNA from 1 species
GGGUGCGAUCAUACCAGCACUAAUGCACCGGAUCCCAUCAGAACUCCGCAGUCAAGCGUGCUUGGGCGAGAGUAGUACUAGGAUGGGUGACCUCCUGGGAAGUCCUCGUGUUGCACCCCCUU